UAGGGAAUCUUCCGCAAUGGGCGAAAGCCUGACGGAGCAACGCCGCGUGAGUGAUGAAGGUCUUCGGAUCGUAAAACUCUGUUAUUAGUGAAGAACAAAUGUGUAAGUAACUAUGCACGUCUUGACGGUACCUAAUCAGAAAGCCACGGCUAACUACGUGCCAGCAGCCGCGGUAAUACGUAGGUGGCAAGCGUUAUCCGGAAUUAUUGGGCGUAAAGCGCGCGUAGGCGGUUUUUUAAGUCUGAUGUGAAAGCCCACGGCUCAACCGUGGAGGGUCAUUGGAAACUGGAAAACUUGAGUGCAGAAGAGGAAAGUGGAAUUCCAUGUGUAGCGGUGAAAUGCGCAGAGAUAUGGAGGAACACCAGUGGCGAAGGCGACUUUCUGGUCUGUAACUGACACUGAUGUGCGAAAGCGUGGGGAUCAAACAGG
rnacentral:rRNA from 1 species